rnacentral:rRNA from 1 species
UACGUAGGGCGCAAGCGUUGUCCGGAUUCAUUGGGCGUAAAGAGCGUGUAGGCGGCCAGGUAGGUCGGUUGUGAAAACUGGAGGCUCAACCUUCAGAGGUCGACCGAAACCAUCUGGCUAGAGUCCGGGAGAGGAGAGUGGAAUUCCUGGUGUAGCGGUGAAAUGCGCAGAUAUCAGGAAGAACACCCGUGGCGAAAGCGGCUCUCUGGAACGGUACUGACGCUGAGACGCGAAAGCGUGGGGAGCGAACAGG